AGUGGGGAAUAUUGNACAAUGGGCGAAAGCCUGAUCCAGCCAUGCCGCGUGUGUGAAGAAGGCCUUCGGGUUGUAAAGCACUUUCAGUGGGGAAGAAAGCCUUGGGGCUAAUACCCUCGANGAAGGACAUCACCCACAGAAGAAGCACCGGCUAACUCCGUGCCAGCAGCCGCGGUAAUACGGAGGGUGCGAGCGUUAAUCGGAAUUACUGGGCGUAAAGCGCGCGUAGGCGGUNUGAUAAGCCGGUUGUGAAAGCCCCGGGCUCAACCUGGGAACGGCAUCCGGAACUGUCAGGCUAGAGUNCNGUAGAGGAAGGUAGAAUUUCCCGGUGUAGCGGUGAAAUGCGUAGAGAUCGGGGGGAAUACCAGUGGCGAAGGCGGCCUUCUGGACAAACACUGACGCUGAGGUGCGAAAGCGUGGGUAGCAAACNGGAUUAGAUACCCUGGUAGUCCACGCNGUAAACGAUGUCNACUAGCCGUUNGUCUCNUUNAGNGCUUUGUNUCACAGUUAACGCGNUAANUNGACCGCCUGGAAAGUACGGCCGCAAGGUUA
rnacentral:rRNA from 1 species